GCUACAACUUUAAGUUUGCAAACCCAAGUGCAGGUUGUCGCAAGUAGUAAAUCUCGGAAGUCCGAGGUCGAACCACAGGGAAUUGGAAGGAAACAAACUAUUCUAUGAGUAGCGAACGGUUGGUGGAAAUACGAUUGAGACGAACACUAGAGCAUCGGGGAUUCACUUCGGAUAAAUGAGUAGAAAUUGCUCUUGAUCUUUAAUUUAACUCAUAUGAGAAUCAACUAAGGAGUGAUCUCAUAUGGAAGAUAAAACAUUAACCACAAAUAUACUAAAAGAUAGAUCUUGAUAAUUGUUUGAGAGAAUAUGUCAAAAUAAGUUGUUGGUAUGUAGAGAUUAUCUAAGCAUUUAUUGUGCCAAAAUUGUCAACAAUAAAUCAAAGUCUUUAACAAACCAAAACCAUUUGUAGAACACAAACUUCAACCAAGUAAGAAGAUGAACAUUGAAGAAAAAAAUGAAAGAUCAAAGACAAUACUAAACAUUCAUCAAAGUUUCACCCCUAGCUCUAGCUAAAUGUUUAGAAAUACAUAGUGAAAUGUUACAAAGAAAAUGAAGGAAACUAGAAUAUGAUGGAGAGAAUUGAUGCUUCAAAAUCGUGGCCAAGGUCCCCUUUUAUAGGCAAAGGAACAUCCAAAAUUCAAGUAGGCAAUGCAACUUGUUUCUGUCCAGCUUCAAGACAGCUGGAACAUGCAACUUGAUGCCAAUUUUCAGAUACAUUGUGCAGCGACUUUGGACUUAUGAUAAACAGAUAAAUUAUUACCAAUUGAGUUAUCUUUCCAUUGGUUCAAAUAUCAGGUUCAUUGGAUCUAUAUAACUCCGGAUAUGACAAAAACAAUAAGUGCUGCUUCACAGGUAAAGCUGUAUCCGGCAGGUAACAAGCUGGACUUUGCACGGUAAUUUUGGCUGCUUUUUGAUACGAAUUUGACUUCUUCCAAAACAU
rnacentral:lncRNA from 1 species